rnacentral:piRNA from 1 species
AACACACUUGCGCUUAUGCUGAGCACCCGG